rnacentral:lncRNA from 1 species
AGGAAAACAUUCAUAAGCUUAAGUAGUUUGGUGUUGGAGAAAAGUUUCAUUGCUUGAUACAGACCUUCAAAUUUAUAUAAAAUGUAUAACUGUCUAUUCCGUAUCAUCUGUUCCAUCUAGGCACUUAGGACUCCAAAUAACAGCACAUACAAAAUUCAAAUGGCGUAUCUGUGGCAAAUAUAAAUCCCAGCUGUCCAAAUAUAGCUGUCCCAGCUAUUCCCCAAAUUUCAAGGUCCCUCCCGCACCCCUCCUACCUCUGUAACACACAUGUGCAGCUAUAGAGGACUGGCCUUCUAGUGUUAUGUUUGAACUCAGUCCUGAAAGAAAAGUAGGAGUUUUCCCUGGCAAUAAAGUAAAUAAUUGAAGGUCAGAAGCGACAAAAAAGGA